rnacentral:rRNA from 1 species
AUACGGAGGGUGCAAGCGUUACUCGGAAUCACUGGGCGUAAAGCGCGCGCAGGCGGGCUGAUAAGUUGGAUGUGAAAGCCUACGGCUCAACCGUAGAACUGCAUCCAAAACUGUCAGUCUAGAGUCUGGGAGGGGAAGAUGGAAUUAGUUGUGUAGGGGUAAAAUCCGUAGAGAUAACUAGGAAUACCAAAAGCGAAGGCGAUCUUCUGGAACAGUACUGACGCUGAGGCGCGAAAGCGUGGGGAGCAAACAGAAUUAGAAACCCUUGUAGUCC